UACAGAGGGGGCAAGCGUUAUUCGGAAUUAUUGGGCGUAAAGGGCGCGUAGGCGGCUUUGCAAGUGACGGGUGAAAUCCCUCGGCUUAACCGAGGAACUGCCUGUCAGACUGCAUGGCUUGAGACCGGGAGAGGUGAGUGGAAUUCCCAGUGUAGCGGUGAAAUGCGUAGAUAUCUGGAGGAACACCGGUGGCGAAGGCGGCAUCCUGGACCGGCAUUGACGCUGAGGCGCGAAAGCCAGGGGAGCAAACGGG
rnacentral:rRNA from 1 species